rnacentral:rRNA from 1 species
UACGUAGGUGGCAAGCGUUGUCCGGAUUUACUGGGCGUAAAGAGCGCGCAGGCGGUCGUCCAAGUCGCGUGUGAAAGCCCCCGGCUCAACUGGGGAGGGUCACGCGAUACUGGUCGACUCGAAGGCAGGAGAGGGUAGUGGAAUUCCCGGUGUAGUGGUGAAAUGCGUAGAUAUCCGGAGGAACACCAGUGGCGAAGGCGACUUUCUGGCCUGUUCUUGACGCUGAGGCGCGAAAGCUAGGGGAGCAAACGGG